ensembl:lncRNA
GUAAAGUUCUAUUAAAAGGCACAGCCUGGACACAAGUAGGCUGUGGGGAGUGAAGAGAGGGGUGUGCUCAAUAUUUUCAAUAGAGGAGGGCAGCCUCUGGCCCCACCUCCAUCUCACCCCAAGGCUAGUGAAAAGGUUACAGAUCCACCAGAGAGGUCAGAAGUGCCAGAUUCACUGGAGGAGAUCAGCAGAGGCACGAUCAGUGGUCCUUGGAUGGAAUGGAGAUGGGGUUUUAGGAUAGCUGACCUGACUUUGACGUGGCCAUCUCCAAAGCAUUUUUCUGACUGAGAGCCACAGGCCCUCAACAUCAACGUAAUUUGGAUACACUCAAGAAUCCACAGGCUUCACUCUGGAGACGAAGGGACUUAAACCACAUAUGGAAAGAGAGCAACUGUUGCUUCAAGUAAACAGAUGGAACUGUGACCUGAGUAUUUUGCCAAAGGGAAAUAAGAAAAGAAAGUAAAAGACUUGGGGUUGGGAGCCAGAAGAGAAUAAGCAUAGACAGCAGCACAAAGGUCAAUGGACUCAAGUUGAACAAGGUAGUGGGACGGGCAGGUGAGGAGAUUCACCCCAUCCUUGUCUGUACUUUCUACACAUUUCUCUCUCAUAACAGUGGUUCCCAGCAGCAUCAUUAUCUGGAGACCCUUUAAAAAUUUCAGAUUCCUGGGCCCCACCCACAGCUUGGUGAACCUGAGAAAGUCAAGUUGUUUUUAAGUUGAGCAUCACUGAGUAAUCAGAGCACAUAGGAGCUUGGGAAGCCGUUGCAUUUUCUGAAUAUGAAAAAGAAUGCUAUCUUGUUAUGUUGUGAAGCAGGUGAAGCUAUGUGCUAGGGACCUGCACCUGCUACCGACUUGCUAUGUAAUGUGUGGCAGAUUGAGCGAUAAUUUUUAACUUCUUCUCCUCCAUCUCGAAAAUUGAGACACAUAAUGCUCACUCCUAUGACAAAAGAAAGGGAAGAAAAAGCAAUAAAGCAAUUUGAGUAUCUUGGUAGGAAUAAACAAUACAGAUACAAUGUGAGUUCCACAUCUUAUUUAGGUAAACCAAACAAAUAGGCCAUGUUUUGCCUGCUUUCACUGGUUUCCAGAAAUGAGUACCUGAAAGAAGGUGAUGUCAUCUUGAGGUAUCUCUCUUGUAGAGUGAUGUUUCUUAAUGUAUCCACAGGAUCCUGGCAUCAUUUCUCUGGGGGGUGGGGGGUACUUACUAUAAAAAUACAGAUUCUCAGGUCUCAUUCUGCACCAAUGGGAUCAUAACCUUUGAGUUAUGGAGCCUGAGUAUCUGGUUUUUAUCAAGCUCCCCAGAAGAAUCUUAUGUACAGUGAAGUUUAAGAACUAUUGCUCUGGACUAUAAGUUCUCUGAGACAGGAACUGCAUCCAUCAGUGUAGCUUUUUCAGUGUAUUGAAUAUAAUAGGUGGUUAAACAACAUCUGUUGAAUAAACAAAACCAUGAAAAGAUAAAUUAUUUCAUCCUCGAUCCUUCUAGUAGCAUGUUUUCAUAAUCAGUGGCCUUGGUAAGCUGUGUAUAGAGUGGAUAAGGCAAGUUUUAAGCUAUACAUACCUCCUGAUGAGGAGGAGCUUUAUAUACAGGAAAUAUCCCUUUCAAAGUGAUCCAGACAGACUUUCAAGAAAAGGCUCUGGGGAGCUAAUUAAAGAGCGAGAGGCAGACAGGCUGCUGAGUUCUUUCGUAAGCUCCCGAGCUCAAGAAUGAAAAUCAGAGACUGGGGAUAGCCAAGAAAAACCCUGAGGCUGAGGAGAUAUACACUGAUAGCAAAAGGUCAGACAACAGAUCACCGGCAGUACACUGGUAGCUAGAAGGGACAAGAUAGCCAUACAUCCAGCUUCUAGAAAGCAUUAAUUCUCUAUCCAAAGCAAGGGAGAAAAUUAGAACUUGAGAUGCUUCUGAGUCUACCUGUAGUGAAACUUGGGUGGUGGGGCUGGGGGGAAGUGUCGUUGGGGUGGUUCAUGUCAAGGAAGCAGAAGAGGUGCCUGGGCGGUAAAGUGCACGCUCAAUGCUGUUGGCUCCCUAGUGAAAGGAAUUUCACAGUUUGUGGGUUUGGUCCCUUUGAACAAACACCUGAGGCUUGUGCAGGGCAAGGUGGAAACAGGUGUCUUUGAAGAGUUAAUUGUUACAAAUUGCUUCUUAUGAUGAUGGUAUAAUUACAUUUCUGUCCUAAUGUUGAUAUUUUUAAGCCACAUUGUGGUGUAGCCCCUCGUGAACUAUGUUUCGUACUGUUAUCCUACAUGUCCCCACAUGCUUUAACGUUUUCCAAAUAAUGAAUUCCUUUCUUUUUCAGCUUUUAGUUAGGUGGAAGCUUUAGACAAACCAAUUUAGCAGAAAGAACUUAGGAGAUUCUCCCAAGAGUUAGUAUUGUAGGUGCUAAAACAGGACAAGAGCUGUGCAAAUGUCAGGGGAACCGUGAAAGUCUAAUCACGCAUAUUGUUUCAUCCAAGCUUCACAGGAUGUUGUAGGAGCCGAGCCAGCACGAAUGAUGUAAUUACUCUGAAAUAGGCAGUAGAGUCCCCUCUUCCUUCCUCUGCACCUCAGUUCUCUAAAACCCUCGAAUAGCAUGAAAGAAAUCCCAGAAAAGAGUAGGGGUUCCCCAGAAUUCCUUUAAGAUGCAAACAAUCUGGCCCAGUCUUGCAGAAACCACCCAGAUCACAGCCAACUAGGGCCAAAUAAAGCAGCAAAUCCCUCUAAUUAGAAAGGCCAAUUAAGGAAUUCAAAGGGAAAUGCUGAAUCCCUUAUCGUGGAAGAUGAAGGGUGUCUUCUAUUUUUUAUUUAAAGUGUUAAUCACCUGUAUGGUAUUGUCCCAAGAUAAGAACCCUCAGGAUCGCUUAUGCUCAACAUUGUCACAGAGAGUGAGUAAUCCACGAGCUGACAAAACCUGAGUGAGCAGGGCAAUCCAAAUCCACUGAGUGUGUGCUCUUUUCUCCUUUUCUCUGCUUAUCCAGGGCUCAAAAAUUUUUGCUCAGUCUUCUGAACCAAUAGCUCACUUGAACUAUAGUUUUCUUAUAGAUGAGAGGGUAGUAGAUGAGAAAAAAAAAGGAUGGGUUAGGCCAACUAUGACCUGCUGGCAGUGAGUCAACUGAAGAGCUAGCUAGCUAAACGGCCCUGGGUAAGCGAUAUAUCUGCCUGUGGUGCAGCUUCCUAACUCAUAUUCCUGACAGAACUUCAGAUCUUUCCUAUUCACUCCAUUUAGGUUCUUAAGUCGGGAAAAAAUACUAACUUUUCUUACAAGGGAUGUACACAGGAAAUGUUUUCAUUUGAGAUACUAGAAUGACACUUACCUCUGUCUUUGAUCUACUUCUCUGUUAGUUAACAUUUAUUGAGCAGUCUACUGAGCACCAGCACUGGUCUAUCCACUUUCCCUGAGUCCUCUCAUUUCAUCCUGACGAUGACCAUUUGAGGUAGGUACUACUAGUAUCUUCCUUUGACAGAUGAGAAAAGUGAGGCUUAGAGAAGUGAAUUUGCCUAAGGGUACAAAUCUAGUAAGUAACAGAGACAGGACUUGUACUGGGGAUGUCAGAUCCCUAGCAGGUUCUCCUAAUUAGUUAAUACACUAUGCUACUCUUGAUGAGAUUGCCCUUGCAAAGUGUUUGUUAACUAUAAAGUCACAUCCAGACAUAAAAUAGUCUUUUUAUUAUUAUCAAAAUCCAUUUAGUUUUCUGAUUCAUUGAGAUGAUACAAUAGACCUAUUAAAAUUUAGCAUAUGAGAAAAUGUGGAAGAAAUCAACAUAUUUCUAGUGAUAAUAUAUCUUCUUUCAGCUCAAUCAUUGAGGAAUAGAAGAUCUGGCUGUGAUUUCUUCUCAUUUUUCAUGUAUCUAUAAAAAAUAAAAUAGACUCAUUUGACCUAUCCCCUAUACUUUUAUUGCAACCUGGUGAAAAUAAAAGAAUGUAUAGAUAAGGAUAAUAAAAGUAAAGAAAUAUAAACAAAGCAGUUUAUAACAUUAUUUAAUGCUUUCUGUAAAUCAUUUGGAUGAUUUUGCAUGCAGCCAUAAUGAUAUGCUCUUCUUUGAGACAAAUUGCUUGUUUUCUUGAUUCUAAGAUGCAAAUUUUUUUACAUCUUGAUGUUUUUGAAAUUAGUAGAUGCCUUAUAAUCAAUGUGAACCCUUAAUGUAGAAUUCUUUACCCUCCCUCCACCCUCCACAAAGCUGUUACUAAAACUAUGGUGCAUCUUAGAAUCUUAAAAUAGAAGAAAUACAUAGCACUUCAGAUUUUUAAGAUUUAUAUUACUAGGUCGGCCAACACACAUUGCCCACUGUUUCGCUCUUUGGACACAGUUAGCUUUGCCCAAACUAGUGCUUUAGAUACAACAGAAGAAACACUGAAUAUCUUUUAAAGCAUAUGUUUCAAAAUCUAGUGUCUGCCUACAUUUGGGAUUCUAAAUACCAUUCCUCUACUAAAAAGGACUACAGCUGAUUUCAGGGCUGGAGCAGAGAAAAUCCAAGAUAAGCUUAGAAUGUCUUGUUGAGCUACAAAGUAAGAAAAUGAUUGAAAAACGAUGAGGACAUGUCAAAUGGAUACAAGUGCCAACUUGAAAGGGCUCUGUCUGAUCGAAUUUAUGACAAUUUGUGUUUUGAAAUGAAUAAUUACAGUAAUUUAUUACAACCCAUUGAAUAAACUAGGAACCCACGGAUUCACAUGGAUAAUAAAUACAUAAAUAAAUAAUAGAGGAGAUGAGGAAGCUCUUCUUAUAGUAGAAUGUUACAUCCUAAAUGUAGAAAGAAUGAUAGACUUUAAAAAUUACCAUUUUGCAGUCAUCCAUAGUAAUCAGGUAAGACUCACCAUGGGAUGCUAUAAUGAUUGGUGAAAGUUUGAUGAGAAACAGGAUAUUUAUACAGUCUCAAAGUAUCUCGCCACAGAUUUCUGUUAACACAAAAUGGUAAACUUAACAGCGGAGAAACCUGACCCAGAGUACCUCAACCAAGUGAUCAAAGUUACCAUCACCAACAAUGGGACGGCCCAACAUCAUGUGCCGCCUGAUGGGAACGUACUCGAGAGGACACAGCAUUUCUUACAUACUGUACCUGCUGAACAUGCAUACCUUGCACGGGAACAUGAAAAAGUACCAGACAAACUCCAAACUGCUGGUCUGUACUCUUUUUAAAAUGUCAACAUCAUAAAAGGCAAUGAAAGCCUGAGAAACUGUUCCAGAUUAAAAGAAACUAAAGAAACAUGACAACUAAAAGAAAUAUGUGGUCUUGGAUUAGAUUCUGAGUUGGAGAUGGGGCUGGGGAGGAUUGCCAUAAUGGACAUUAUUGGAACAAUUGAUAAAAUUUGAUAAUGAACUUUCUAUUAAUAACAGUAUCAUGAAUAUUAAAUGUCCUCAAUUUAAUAAUUGUACAAUGUUUAUGUAUGCAUGUCCUUGUUCUUAAGAAAAAUAUAAGUAUGUAGAGGUAAAGAGGCAUGAUUUCUACUACUUACUUUCAAAUGUUUUUAGACAAUAUAUAUAAUGACAGAGAAAGAGAGAUAACAAAUGUGGCAAAAUCCUAAGAUUUGAUGCAUUUGGAUUAAGAGAAUACAGGAGUUAUUUUUAUUAUUCUUGAAACUUUUCUGUAAGUUUGAAAUUAUUUCAAAAUAUUGUUUAAAAAAUUCAGGUCUAUUUGUAUUCUGUUUGAAUGUAUUUUUUUAAUUAACUUUUGAAACAUUUUUGUCAAUGAGUCUUUGAUAAAGGCCAAGCUGGAGAUUUGUUUGUAGUACAAAAGUAACAUAUAUGUAACUUAAUGUGUAAAUUGAUGUUCGGCCCUAGAUUUCGAAGAGGUUAUUAAAGUUGUUGCAUGAAGAAAAAUAUAUUUGGAAAGAGGAUUUUACAUAGGAUCUUAGAGUCUUGUUGUAUGACUGAUCUUAUUACCAGCUUUUGGAGUUAAAAAAACAACACCACCAUUUUGAAAUCUUAAGAGUGUAAAGAGUAAGCAGAACAACUGAAAUAUCAGAUGGUAUAACCGCCAAGCAAAAUGGAGUAAAGUUUCUUGUGAGGAUCUUUGAUGAUAAACCAAUACACUGAAAAGCAGAAUGUGAAUCCUGAAAUGUUUUUGUCUCUAAGGAAAAGUUUUGGAUGAAUUGUUUUAUUAUCUUCCCAAGCUAGAACCAGAAUUAAAUUAAACGUGUUAAUAACA